rnacentral:rRNA from 1 species
UAAUGUAUGGGGAUCUGCCCGAUAGAGGGGGAAUAACACUGGAAACGGUGGCUAAUACCGCAUAAUGUCUACGGACCAAAGCAGGGGCUCUUCGGACCUUGCACUAUCGGAUGAACCCAUAUGGGAUUAGCUAGUAGGUGGGGUAAAGGCUCACCUAGGCGACGAUCUCUAGCUGGUCUGAGAGGAUGAUCAGCCACACUGGGACUGAGACACGGCCCAG